AGAAAAAAAAAAAAAAAGAAGUUGGACUCUGAAAAAUAUUGAUCGGAUUAUGAAUUUUGAUUUAGAUAUUAGAAAUUUUCAAUACAUAGAAUUGUGAUUAAUUUUGCAAGUGUGGAAUGAACUUGUGUGGCAUCUAAGUUUGAAACUUUAGCUUUAUAUAACUGAGAUAAGAAAGUUAAAAGUAUAUUGAUUGGACUAGGAAAUUUUAUUUGUGGAUUACAAAUUCCUAAGACUUAGAAAUAUAGUUAGGAUCGAUGGCUAUGAAUACAUAUUUUUUGAGAUAAAUGUGAACCCAAAAUUAAUUAUGGAAAUUGAACUUAUGAAAAUGAAUUUUAUAAGUAGUAUAGAGUAUAGUUAUAGUUAAGUUUUGAUCGUAAUUUUAGCAAGGCUAUAGAAAACUAUAGGAACAUGAUAUCUUAAAAGAUUUGCUAAAGAACUAUAUAUUCUUUUGAGUAAGUAAACUGAAAAGAUUAUGUACAUAUGUUUUUAGGAAUAUAAUUUAAAGUAACCAAAUUUUUCUAAAUAUACAUGUCUUAAAUUUCUUUCAUACAAAUUUCGAGGACGAAAUUUUUUUAAGAGGGGUAGUAAUGUAACACCCCAAAUUUUAUAAACUAGUAUUUUCUUUAUAUUAUUAAUUUAAGUAUUUUUAUAAAAUAAAUUUGAUGAUUUAGUUAUAUUUUCACAAUAGUUUGUGAAAAUAAUUUAUUUAAAGAGUAUACAAUAUCAUGUUAGUCCUAGUUAUAUGUCUAAAGCGUGAGAAUGUUUAAAUAAUUAUUUUCUUGAAAAUAAACUUUAGAUAAAGAAAACCUAUAGAUCUAAUCUAUUAAUUAAAUGUAAACUAUGGUUGAAAUUUUAGAACUGAGAGUGUAAAAGUAUACACCGUUAAAAAUAAAUAGUUUAUAAAAAUAUGUUGGAAAUAAAUAGUUUAUUUCCGAAUUAUUUUAUGUGUGCUUUGAUAGUAUAUUUAUUUUGUGUAGACUGAUAAUUAAUAUUUUCUCUAGACUGUGAAUUUAAGAAAAAUAAUUUUAGAAAUCAAUCAUGAAAUAUUUCAGUAGACUAUGAUAAAAGUUUGGGCUUAAAAUUCAACCGGAUUUCUGACAGUUGUUUACUCAACAGUAUAAUUUUAAUCCCAGAAAAAGAAAAGAAAAACAUCUUUUAGACCAGAAAAAUAUCUAUGUUAUUAAAAUUAAAUGAAAAAUAAAAUGAAAGAUUAAGAGAUAAGCAUGCAUUUAAUUUUAAGAUAAGAACUACACCUAUGCAUACAAGGUGGCUAAUUUUUCUUCACAAAUUGAAAGUGAAAACGUGGACUGAGAAUUUACCAUGUAGCAGUAGAAUUAGAAAUCUAUAAAUAGGGUCUUAACAUUCACUUUUUACACACAAUUAUCACUCUCACAACUCACAAAAAGCUAGGAAUUUCAAUUAAGGUAUCAUAGAAGAAGGCGAUCGUUCAAGUUAUUUUGGAAAGCUCUGAGUUAGUGCAGGAUACUAAGACCUCAAGUUGAAGUUCAUUGAAAAAAAGAAAAAUGGCAUUGUGAGAGACAUUAAAAUAAAGAACGUUAGUGCUGAUUGGUGGUCUAGUUUUAUUUUCGAAGUCCGAAGAGAAAAAUCUCUUUGAUAUGUAUUGAUGACGUCAUUGGAGUACUCUCUAGGUGACAUGUAUCUUUAGUGUUUGACCAGCUUGUGAUCAUUUGUGGGUUAGAGUCUUUUGUAGGAAUUUAUUUUUUAUCAUUUUAAAUUGAAAAAUUGUACGAUACUUAUGUGAAAUGGAAAUGUUUUAUAUUUGAAAA